rnacentral:ribozyme from 1 species
UUUUUUUUUUUUUUCUGUGAUAUUUUUUCUCUUCUUUCCUGGUCCGACUCAUUUCUGAGUAAUAAGAAGAUGAUGUUCCGAAGUGUGG